CACGCAUUCACAUUCCUUAAGAUACAGAUAAGCUGGGAAUUCUCUCAGGCAAUGGAUAUGUAUCAGGCCAUGCUCACCUGCUCCAGGGAAAGCUCUCCCAGGCAGGACAUUGGCAUGCGGAGGUAGAGGUGGACCCAGAGUGAAUUCAGGUACAGACCUCUCCAUGAAGCGAGGUUCGAACUGUGCUGGGACCCCCUGUAACCUCUGCUGCCCCUGGGCGAGGAUCUGUGGAGCCAUAGCCAUCUGGUUCCUCAUCAUCAAUUCUUGCCUCUGCCUCAGCUCUGCAAGAGAAGAAAAGGCACUAUAGCUGACAUGCCGUUGACCAGACGGUACCAGUGCUUCUCAUCAAAAGCCCCCUGUUCUCCCAUCGCUGUCAUCUUCCUCAGCUGCUCCCGUGGGGUCAUGAUACACACACGACCUUUGAACUCCACCUGAAUGCUGUAAAAGUUCAAGAUGAAAAAAAGAGGUAAAUUUCUACAAACAGGACAAUGUGACAAUGUGCUUUAACAAACUGGUUACUACAGUAGUGGGCUUUAAAGUUUAAAUUCAUUUAAAACUGUGCUUGUAUGGACGUAUAAAUUUUGUAAUGUCUUAUUAUUGCCACUAGGGGACAGUAAAUGCCUGAACAUUAAAGAGCUGUUGAUGG